CCUACGGGUGGCAGCAGUGAGGAAUUUUGGACAAUGGGGGGAACCCUGAUCCAGCGACGCCGCGUGAGUGAAGAAGUCUUUCGGUAUGUAAAGCUCUAUCAUCGGGGAAGAAAAUGACGUUACGCUGAAAACACUCUACGGCUAACUACGUGCCAGCAGCCGCGGUAAUACGUAGGUGGCAAGCGUUGUCCGGAUUUACUGGGUGUAAAGGGCGUUUAGCCGGGUAGGCAAGUCAGAUGUGAAAUCCGGAGGCUGAACCUCCGAACUGCAUUUGAAACUGUUUGUCUUGAGUACGGGAGAGGCAGACGGAAUUCCUUGUGUAGCGGUGAAAUGCGUAGAUAUAAGGAGGAACACCAGUGGCGAAGGCGGUCUGCUGGACAGCAACUGACGGUGAGGCGCGAAAGCGUGGGGAGCAAACAGGAUUAGAUACCCUAGUAGUC
rnacentral:rRNA from 1 species